rnacentral:rRNA from 1 species
AGCGAACGCUGGCGGCAUGCUUAACACAUGCAAGUCGCACGGCCGGGGGCAACGCCGGCAGUGGCGGACGGGUGAGUAACGCGUAGGUAUCUAUCCUUGGGUGGGGGACAACCGUGGGAAACUACGGCUAAUACCGCAUGAUGACUGAGGUCCAAAGCUUGCCUGGGUUACCGGGUGGGCGCCUGGGGCGGAGCCUGCGUACGAUUAGCUAGUUGGUGGGGUAAAGGCCUACCAAGGCUGCGAUCGUUAGCUGGUCUGAGAGGAUGAUCAGCCACAU